rnacentral:miRNA from 2 species
GAAAUUCUUUUGAGCAAGUGUG